UACGUAGGGAGCAAGCGUUGUUCGGAUUUACUGGGCGUAAAGGGCGCGUAGGCGGCGCGGUAAGUCACUUGUGAAAUCUCUGAGCUUAACUCAGAACGGCCAAGUGAUACUGCAGUGCUAGAGUGCAGAAAGGGCAAUCGGAAUUCUUGGUGUAGCGGUGAAAUGCGCAGAUAUCAGGAGGAACACCGGUGGCGAAGGCGGAUCUCUGGGCCAUUACUGACGCUGAGGAGCGAAAGCGUGGGGAGCGAACAGG
rnacentral:rRNA from 1 species